AUUGAACGCUGGCGGCAGGCCUAACACAUGCAAGUCGAACGGUAACAGGAAGAAGCUUGCUUCUUUGCUGACGAGUGGCGGACGGGUGAGUAAUGUCUGGGAAACUGCCUGAUGGAGGGGGAUAACUACUGGAAACGGUAGCUAAUACCGCAUAACGUCGCAAGACCAAGGAGGGGGACCUUCGGGCCUCUUGCCAUCGGAUGUGCCCAGAUGGGAUUAGCUAGUAGGUGGGGUAACGGCUCACCUAGGCGACGAUCCCUAGCUGGUCUGAGAGGAUGACCAGCCACCCUGGAACUGAGACACGGUCCAGACUCCUACGGGAGGCAGCAGUGGGGAAUAUUGCACAAUGGGCGCAAGCCUGAUGCAGCCAUGCCGCGUGUAUGAAGAAGGCCUUCGGGUUGUAAAGUACUUUCAGCGGGGAGGAAGGGAGUAAAGUUAAUACCUUUGCUCAUUGACGUUACCCGCAGAAGAAGCACCGGCUAACUCCGUG
rnacentral:rRNA from 1 species